rnacentral:lncRNA from 1 species
UUUGAGUAUAAAGAAACCUUUGUUUGAAACACAGUUGUAAACAAGUUUGAAGUAUGAUAAACCGAGUAAGAAGUACAGUGUAAUAAGUAGUUGAAAACAUAUAAAAUGUUUAUAAAAAUCAUUUGAAGGAAAACUAUUUGGUAAAACGGCUAAUGAGUAGCCAAAUCUUUUGAAUGCUGUAUAUUAAUCACAUGUGAUUGAUGUAUUAAAUAAUAUAAUCCGACUUACUAAUCACAUGUGAUUGACAAAAAAAGUAGCAUGAUUCUACUUGUAUCCCCCCCAUAAAACAUUUAAAACAGUUUAAAACAUUAGUUAAGGGGUAUGAACUCACCUGCAGUAUGUGACUGGAAAUGAACGGGCUGUUAUCGUACGGAAGGAUCGGACAAGUGCUUGGUGUCAAGUGAUGACUUAGACACACACAAUGAUCCUAAUUACAUAUGAAGACAUAUGUAUAUAAAUAAUUAGUGAUUAUAACACUAAUUAUACAAGUAAUAACAUUUAAGCGCGAGGACAACACUUUUGGUCAAGUGCUAGGAGGCAAAUGGGUUGCAAUAAAGGAGUGCAAUGCCCCUAAUGGAAGUUUAAGGUCAAAAGACCAUAAUCAUUAGAGUUUACGGCCCAGGGGAGUAGGCUCCUGGCCGUAAACUCUCAAACAAGGCUUGGAAUGGUACUUUGAAUUACUACAACUCUAGUGGGAAUUGUUUCAAGGCCUAUACAAGUGUUUGGGCACCACAUUGACUCCUUUGGGGAGUUUACGGCCCAAAGACCCUUUUCCCUUGGAGUUUACGGCCGUAAACUCCCUUGGGAGGGUUCUUAUUGUCCUUUCAAGUGUCUAACAAUUCUAGGAACAAGUCUAGGCUUCAAUACUUGGAUUAAGGGAGGUUUAAGGCACUAAAUGGGACCAUUUGAUGGAGUUUACGGCCAUAGAACUCUUUGGGCCGUAAACUCCCUCACACAUGAGGUCCUAAGAAUUUUAACUAGUCCAUAUCUCCUCUAAGUACUUGCCCUAAAAGUUUCUUGGCCUAUGGAAGUGUUUAGGGUGUCCUUUGACCCCAUUUAAGGAGUUUACGGCCCAAGAAAUACUCUUGGCCGUAAACUCUCAAACACUUAUGCUUUUUAUGUGUUUUCUAGGUCCUAAACACAUUAAGGUACAUGCCAAAAAUGAAUACUAAGCCUUAGGAAGAGUUUAAAGGCAUUUUGGAACCUAAAACUUGGAGUUUACGGCCCAAGGAGUUUCUUGGCCGUAAACUCCCUUAUAGAAAUGAUUUCUAAGGGUUUUGAUGGCAUAAAUCAUGAGUGUAAAGCUUCUAGGUGUUUGUUCUAAGGCUAGGGAUCACAAGGCACUCAUUUGUGCCCUUUACUUGGAGUUUACGGCCCAAGAGGUGGUUCCUUGGCCGUAAACUCCUCAAACUAAGUGAUUUUGAUUUGUUUCUAGCCUCCAAUGAUCAUACACUAGGUCCUUAGUUAGUUGCCUAACACGGAAAUGGGACUAUGUGGCCUUUAGGCUUGAUUUUGGAGUUUACUCCCCAAGAACGUUCUUGGGCGGUAAACUCCCGGAUCUUGUGUUUUGGACAUGUAAUCAAUGUUAUAAAGCAUAUAACAAGUAUUAAAACACAUUUAGGGAAGUAGACUCACAAUCUGGGAUGAAAACCCGAAGAUCCGUGAGAGAGUAUUUGGCUUUUCUCUAAAUGGAAAUCAAAUAAUGAACCAAUUUGGUUCAGAAUUCUAUUUAUAGUCCAGAGAUUUUUGGCAGAAAAUAUUUCUAUUCUCGGAAUGGAUUCUAAUGACCUAGAGUAAUGGAAUUACAGUGUUGCACAAAAUCCUAGUGCACCCACUCUCCUAAUAACUCCUUAGGUGUAAAACCCUAAAACUGCCAAACUUAUUCCAAAAGUUUGAAUUUUCACUGAAACUGCUCUACUUCCAUUGGAUUGAUGUGGUUUGAUUUGAAUGGAAAAUUUCGGGUUGUCACAGUUAAGGGGUAUGAACUCACCUGCAGUAUGUGACUGGAAUUGAACGGGCUGUUAUCGUACGGAAGGAUCAGACAAGUGCUUGGUGUCAAGUGAAGACUUAGACACACACAAUGAUCCUAAUUACAUAUGAAACAUAUGUAUAUAAAUAAUUAGUGAUUAUAACACUAAUUAUACAAGUAAUAACAUUUAAGCGCGAGGACAACACUUUUGGUCAAGUGCUAGGAGGCUAAUGGGUUGCAACAAAGAAGUGCAAUGCCCCUAAUGAAAGUUUAAGGUCAAAAGACCAUAUUCAUUAGAGUUUACGGCCCAGGGGAGUAAGCUCCUGGCCGUAAACUCUCAAACAAGUCAUGAAAUGGAGUUUAAAAGUACUACAACCUUAGAGGGGAAUUGUUUCAAGGCUAUACAAGUGUUUGGGCACCACACUGACUCCUUUGGGGAGUUUACGGCCCAAAGACCCUUCUCCCUUGGAGUUUACGGCCGUAAACUCCCUUGGGAGGGUUCUUAUUGGCCUUUCAAGUCUCUAACAUUUCUAGGAACAAGUCUAGGCUUCAAUACUUGGAUCAAGGGAGGUUUAUGGCAUUAAAUGGAACCAUUUGAUGGAGUUUACGGCCAUAGAACUCUUUGGGCCGUAAACUCCCUCACACAUGAGGUUCUAAGAAUUUUAACUAGCCCAAAACUCAUCUAGGUACUUGCCCUAAAAGUCUCUUGGCCUAAGGAAGUGUCUAGGGUGUCCUUUGACCCCUUUAAAGGAGUUUACGGCCCAAGAAAUACUCUUG